rnacentral:rRNA from 1 species
UACGUAGGGGGCUAGCGUUGUCCGGAAUCAUUGGGCGUAAAGCGCGUGUAGGCGGUCCGGUAAGUCCGCUGUGAAAGUCGGGGGCUCAACCCUCGGAUGCCGGUGGAUACUGUCGGGCUUGAGUACGGAAGAGGCGAGUGGAAUUCCUGGUGUAGCGGUGAAAUGCGUAGAUAUCGGAAGGAACAUCAGUGGCGAAGGCGACUUCCUGGACCAAUACUGACGCUCAGGUGCGAAAGCGUGGGGAGCAAACAGG